ensembl:lncRNA novel transcript
AAGAGAUACCAGAAGGGAAACUGGGAAGCUGGAGGAGAAGGGGAGAGGACCAUGCCUUCCCUAGACAAAAGACAAAGCCUUUUGCUUCUGCUAUAAAUAGGACACCCUCAGGAAAGCUGGAGCUUCUAAUUCUUCCAGUGAUGGAACUCAGCAUAUGUCUGAGGAGCAGAGAAUUCAGAAGCUCCCAUGGGCCUCCCACAGCUGGAAUCUAAAACAACCACAGAAGUCUCAGAAAAGAGAAUAUAAAAGCAUACAACAAAAUAAAGGACUCAUAAGAGUACAGGGAUCACAUACAUGAAGUUGAACAAUGUUCGGUUUUAAUUCUUCACAAUUAUCAUUUGUAAGAUUGUAGACAACAGAUCACAUGUGGGAGAUGCUUGAAGUGGAGAAGUGUGUCUCCAAAAGUGUGAUAUCUACAAUGAAUCAUUUGGAAAGAGUCCUCAGCAAGCUGUGGUGUCUUAUGCCUGUAAUCCCAGCAGUUUGGGAGGUCGAUGUGGGUGGAUCGCUUGUGCCCAGGAAUUCAAGAUCACCCUGGCCAACAUGGUGAAACCCCAUCUCCACAAAAAAUACAACAAUUAGCUGGGCAUGGUGGCGCAUACCUGUAGUCCCAUCUCCUCGAGAGAGGCUGAGGCAUUGGCCAUGGAACCCCAAGUCUCCAGCCAUCUCCAGUUCUCUGCAGGCACUGAAUGUAUGUGCUAAGGCAAGCCAUCUGCAGCUGCUGCUUGAAGGGAGGUACAGAUACAACAGUUGGAAACCUUGGUCACCACAGCAGAGGUGUGGGGCCAAUCCACAAUGCAGUUGGAGCAUGUUAACUUAUGGAUGAAAUGACAGAGAAGACACAGUUGGCUUAGAAUUACAAUCAGGAGAAAGGAAUGUUCUUUUGCUAAUGAAAGAGGAGAAAUUGGCAAUGUUCCAGUCCCAAGUCUAGGCCUCGGGAGGCUUGCAUUUUGCCAAAUUAUGAUCCCCUUCUCAGCUGCUGCUCUUUCAGCAUGGACGCUAUCACAAACACAUGGAAAAUGGCCUUCCCUAGUUAAUCCCAGCCAAACCAAACCCAGGUGCAAACUAGAGCCACACAGCCAAACCCACCCUACACCAACCAUUCCCAGCUGAACUGUAUCCAUGAGAAUAAAUUAUUGUGGUUUUUCA